UAUCUUUGCCACUGUAAAGGUGUCCGGACCCCAAUUGUGGGGCGAGGCUGAAAAGGGAAUCCGGUUUAACGCCGGAGCUGUCCCCGCAACUGUACGCUUCAUGAGUCGGCGCGUCAUCACCGGCCACUGUUUCAGCUUCUUUACCGGAGGCUCACGAAAUGGGAAGGCGACGCGCCCGGAGCAAGCCAGGAGACCUGCCUUUGCAUUCCCCUAUGU
rnacentral:ncRNA from 2 species